rnacentral:rRNA from 1 species
GAGGAAAGCUGGGGGCGUGCCUAAUACAUGCAAGUCGAGCGAACGGACGAGAAGCUUGCUUCUCUGAUGUUAGCGGCGGACGGGUGAGUAACACGUGGAUAACCUACCUAUAAGACUGGGAUAACUUCGGGAAACCGGAGCUAAUACCGGAUAAUAUUUUGAACCGCAUGGUUCAAAAGUGAAAGACGGUCUUGCUGUCACUUAUAGAUGGAUCCGCGCUGCAUUAGCUAGUUGGUAAGGUAACGGCUUACCAAGGCAACGAUGCAUAGCCGACCUGAGAGGGUGAUCGGCCACACUGGAACUGAGACACGGUCCAGACUCCUACGGGAGGCAGCAGUAGGGAAUCUUCCGCAAUGGGCGAAAGCCUGACGGAGCAACGCCGCGUGAGUGAUGAAGGUCUUCGGAUCGUAAAACUCUGUUAUUAGGGAAGAACAUAUGUGUAAGUAACUGUGCACAUCUUGACGGUACCUAAUCAGAAAGCCACGGCUAACUACGUG